GAGGAAAAGAAACCAACAGGGAUUGCCUCAGUAACGGCGAGUGAAGCGGCAAGAGCUCAACUUUGGAAUCGCUCCGGCGAGUUGUAGUCUGGAGGUGGCCACCACGAGGUGUUCUAGCAGCAGGCAAGUCCUUUGGAACAAGGCGCCAGCGAGGGUGACAGCCCCGUACCUGCUUUUGCUAGUGCUUCCUGUGGCCCACCGACGAGUCGAGUUGUUUGGGAAUGCAGCUCUAAGUGGGUGGUAAAUUCCAUCUAAGGCUAAAUAUUGGCGAGAGACCGAUAGCGAACAAGUACAGUGAUGGAAAGAUGAAAAGCACUUUGAAAAGAGAGUGAAACAGUACGUGAAAUUGUUGAAAGGGAAGGGCUUGCACCCAGACACGGUUUCGGCCGGGCCAGCAUCAAGUAGAACGGGGUUAAAAGACCUGGGGAAUGUAGCUACCUCUUGGUAGUGUUAUAGCCCUUGGGUGAUGACCCCUGUUUUGCUUGAGGACAGCGGUCUCUAGGAUGCUGGCGCAAUGGUUGCAAGCCACCC
rnacentral:rRNA from 1 species